GACGAACGCUGGCGGCGUGCCUAACACAUGCAAGUCGAGCGAAUGAAGUUCUUUCGGGAAUGGAUUUAGCGGCGGACGGGUGAGUAACACGUGGGCAACCUGCAUCAUAGAGGGGAAUAGCCUUCCGAAAGGGAGAUGAAUACCGCAUAAGAUUGUAGUACCGCAUGGUACAGCAAUUCAAGGAGCAAUCCGCUAUGGGAUGGGCCCGCGGCGCAUUAGCUAGUUGGUGAGGUAACGGCUCUCCAAGGCGACGAUGCGUAGCCGACCUGAGAGGGUGAUCGGCCACAUUGGGACUGAGACACGUCCCAGACUCCUACGGGAGGCAGCAGUUGGGAAUAUUGCACAAUGGGGGAAACCCUGAUGCAGCAACGCCGCUUGAGUGAUGACGGCCUUCGGGUUGUAAAGCUCUGUCUUCAGGGACGAUAAUGACGGUACCUGAGGAGGAAGCCACGGCUAACUACGUGCCAGCCGCCGCCGUAAAAC
rnacentral:rRNA from 1 species